GUUGUCGUUGGUUUCUCAGAGAAUAUCUACACUUUCUCUUAUCUCUUGUUUCUCUCCUGUUCUACAUCCUCCGCCGUCAACUACUACUGAUCUGUUCUUUGUGGAUCGAUUCAAACAUCCAUCAGGCUUUCGUGAUUUGGCACAACUAAUUCAAUGUCUGAUGAAGUGGAUUAUGAGAGAAUUGCUCGGGAAUCCAUCGCAUAUAGACGAUCACCUACUCAAGAGCAGAAAGACAGAGAUACGAGAGUUUUCGGAAAAAUACGUAAGCGUAAACCUUAUAAUUUCGAAAGUUUCAGCAAGCGAUUGAAAUAUCAUAAUCGACAUUGUCCAGAGGCUUUAUGGAAUGAGAUUGCCAUAUCUGACGACAAGGAGAGGUAUAUAAAGGAGCUACGGAGGCAGCACCAAGAGAAACUUUCCCGGCGGUUACACCGGGAAACUGCCAAGAGGUUGGGGGUGACUAUGCCUUUAGAUGAUCUUGCGGACGUGAUCACCCCGGUUACUGCUGCAACGAAGAAUAACCAGCACCUAUAGCUUUCAAGAAACGGCAUGCAAUUACGUGUAUCGAUCCAUCCGUACACAGCAAGAGGACACAAUAAAAAGUUAGAGAUGGGUACCCUUCAAGCCCAUGCAAAUGGUUUCCGAUUCUCAAAUUGCAAUAUCCCUUUGCAGAUGGAUGUGAUGUAUGACAACAUAAAGCAUGCUUUCUAUCAAGAUGUUGACGAGAGAAUGGCCCCUUUCUUGCACUUGAACUUGCACAACCCCGUCAUUCUAGGGUCUAAAACAACAAAGGAUAUCCAGUUCGUUUGGUGCAGACCUCUGCGGGGAGUAGAAGGAAGGGACCUCUUGCUCGUGAUUCAGACAAGCUUGACAAAGAGCGGCAAGAGACUGUGGGUAAUCAACUUAUGCAUAAGUUUGUCUGGGAAGUCGAUUCUAUAUGGGGUCCAUUGGCUUCAAAUGAAUUUGAAAUGAUAGAGAUACAUCAUGGAUUCCAUGCAAAUCUCCCCAUCAAGAAACACACUUCCUCACCCUCCUUCCUUGUAAUGACUUUAGAUUGCCUGGUUCACCUUAAUGAAACACCUUUCUUGGUA